ACGGAGGAUCCGAGCGUUAUCCGGAUUUAUUGGGUUUAAAGGGUGCGUAGGCGGACUUUUAAGUCAGUUGUGAAAUGUCGGCGCUCAACGCCGUCACUGCAGUUGAAACUGGAGGUCUAGAGAGUGCAAGAGGCAUGCGGAAUUCAUGGUGUAGCGGUGAAAUGCAUAGAUAUCAUGAAGAACCCCGAUUGCGAAAGCAGCAUGCUGGGGCAUAUCUGACGCUGAGUCACGAAAGUGCGGGUAUCAAACAG
rnacentral:rRNA from 1 species